UGGUAGUCUCAUUGGUCAGGUGCUGCUGACGACCUGUCUGUGGCCCGACUCUGCGGACUGGUUCAAGCCAUUUAUCAGAUAUCGCUUUGAUUAAAUUAGGCCCGCUCGUCUGGGUGUGCCUGCUCUAUCCCAAUGCAUGGCUCGAAGCAAAAUGUCUCUAUUCUACUUGUCGGUUUCUUAAAGAUAAAAUGAUUGCUAAGAACUGGCAGCAGCCGCCUGAAUACUGAGUGCAUGGAAGAAAGUCUUAGGACCUCGGUUCUAUAUUGUUGGUUAAAGGAAUGCCCAAGAAAAUGAUCAUUGAUCACAAACGGGGGCAUUCGGUAUUGCGACGAUCAGAUACAAAUUCUUGGAUCACCACAAGAUGGACCGACUCGAAAUCAUGCUUUGUAUAAUGUUAUUCUCUGAUCAGAAGCGAAAGUUAGAGGUUCGAAGGGUUAUCAGAUAACGUAUGUAGUGCUAACCUGAAACGAUGCCGAAUUGACGUACGGCCACCUUCCUCCGAUGACUCUUUGUAUUGAUUUCGGGGAAACCAGAGGCCACGGGAAACGGGGGAAGGGUGGUGGGGGAAGUAUGGUUGCAAAGAAGAAACGGAAAGGCACCGUCGGGAGGGCACCACCAGGAGUGGAUCGACUCAACACGGGAAACUCAACCAGGGAAGGACUCCGGGGGCAUGGCAAGAGAAGGAGCUACAGAUUGAUAGCUUUUUUGGUGGUUGGUGGCCGGUGGUGCAUGUCCGUUCGAAGGGGUGGAGUGAUUUGUCUGGUUAAUUGAGAUAAGCAACGAGACUAGAGCUUCCGACAAAUACACGGAAUUUUAUCUUCCGCGGUCUUCUUGAGGGACCGGCGC
rnacentral:rRNA from 1 species